rnacentral:lncRNA from 1 species
UGCUGGCCCUGGGUGAGAACUUCAGUACAUAACAGCGCACCCUGUCCCUACGGGCGUCGUGCACCCCAUUCCUAGGGGCGCUUCACCCUGCCCCUGGGCACGUCACCCAAGGGGCCCAAGAGGUUUCCUCCGCCACUGUCUCCAAGGUCUUCCACAGAGCUCUCCCAAGAGCACCGUUGGGCAAAGGAUGUGCUCGGCUCGGAAGCUAUGGCCUCAGGGUGGGAAGCUUGACUUUAGCACAGUUCAAAAAAUCCCCUUUCUAAAGUUGAUGCAGCAACCAGCUUGUUGCUGACUCGUCUGAGUUCUACUAAUCAAGAUGCCUCCCUGGUUCAAAAUCCCUUGGAAUCCCUCUUAAAGAAUACACACACAAAUCUGAUUCAUGCUCAUCUAAAACUGUUUUACUCUCGGGUUCCUUCAGGUUUACAGAACUGUACCUGAAGGCAGCCUUAGGUUACAUAACAAGCAAAGAAACUAUACCAGAGGGAAGUUGGUCCUGAGGUGACUGCAACUGAGCAGUCAUCUUUCAAAACUACCAGCAACCGCUUAGAACAUGGAGGCUGUUAGUCCGCUGCCAGAAUGUUGCACUUGACUGCACCUUUACAUCCCACACUCAGAUGUUCCUCAACUGAGCAACAAGCUGGAGCAAGCAGUGGACUGGUGCAUUCCAAAUCCCUCCCGCUUGGGAAGGUUAAUAAAAUAAUAAUAAUAAAAACAACAACAAGGUUUCUUUGCAAUUUGAAUCUAGACUUCCAAAUGGAACCUGGUUCAACUGCGGCUCCAAGCACUAUGCUAAGGGAAUCUGCCUGAGUUUCAUGCUCUGGACCAUGGUCUGAGAAGUUGGACCCCCUCCUACCCUCUGCUCUCUGGACAGGGACAGAUGCAUUUGUCAGCAUUGGUUUCUCUAUUUUUCAAAGUUUUCUGGUCUUUUUCGUUGGGCCCUUUCUUUGUCUUCUUUGUUGAAUUAAUUUUACUGUUGAGGGAACCAUUAAUAUCCCCAAAUCCAGAAGUAUUGGAGGAUCUCACUGUCUUGCGGGGGGGGGGGGUAGAACAGAUUCUUGGUUUGGGAAAUGCAGAUUUGGAAGGUUUGCAUUGAACAACCUGAUUAGAUUGCCCCCUCCAUCCUUUCCUCUGGGAGUCACUUACUAGAUCGGAUUCCAGAAGCAGAGCUAUCCCUCACAGGCUGAGCUGUUGAUGCAAUCCAGGCAAAAAUACCAGUCCAAAACACACAUAACUGGAGGCAAGAAACUAAGCACAGCCAUCUCACCACCAGAGAUCCUUCAAAUAUUAAUCUCUCUUCACUUAACACCCUUCUUAGCAGAAUCAUUUUCUCCUCACUUACAGGAACAGUAGGACGGCAAAUCUUCUACCAAGAUAAAGUUGGCCUUGUUGUGAGCCAGGUGUCCCAAAGAGACAGUGGGAAACAGUGAGGUCACACACUGAAAGCCCAAUGAAUUCACAGGCAGGUUGGGAGGAGAACAGGUACUCUCAGGAGUGGCUUCCAAGUGCCAUGAUGUGCUGGGGCAGGGCAGGGAUGAAUGCAUAGGGGCGCUGCAUGCCAGUCCAAUUUCUCCAAAUUCAUUACCCAUCCUGAGACUCAGAAAAUGAUUCAGGAGGUGCCUGGGCCCCUGCCUAGCCACAUGACUGGAUUGUAAUUUCCAUCAUUCAAGAGGCGAGUCCUUCCAUCCCUACCAGGGAGGGAUGUUGCUUUACUUACCCAACAAGCAGCGCUGCCACUCAUGACACAUACCUGCUUGUUGGCAGCAGGCUGAAAUAAGCUUAGGGCAGCACCCUGGACAACAUCCUUGCAUAUAGACUGGUGGACAAAUGGAGGCCUCCUUACCACCAGCACACUCGGGAUUCCCUGGGCUGCCUCCAGGUGACAGGAGGAGGCAUGGCAGCAGACUGGGUGCAGGCACAGUGGGGAAGGCGCAGCUGAAGGACUGCUGAAUUGCUGGCGUACUUUGGAGCAGCUGGAGACCUUGAAGGAAGGCCUAGUACAUCACUAGGAGAGGUACAUUUUCAAAGGUCAUUAAAGAAUUGCUGGGGUUUGUUUUCUCCAUCUUUCUCCUCUGGAUGGAGGGGAAGGGGAUCUUCUCGAUGAAAUUCCUUCCUGCACGGCUCCUCAUGCAUAGGGACGGGUGUGGCUUCUCUCUUCCCCACUUCUGCAUCAGCACCCCUUCUAGGAUCUGUUGAGCCCGCUCCCUUCUUUGCUUGGGCAGGGAGGAGGGUGCCUAGGAGGAAUUGCAAGGCAGGAUUGUGAGCAGGUGGCAGAGCCAGCCCAUCAUUAGACAAGGUGAGGCCACUGCCUCAGGCCGCAGAAGCCCCCCAGGUGACACUGCUGCAGGUGCCCCACCUGUCUCACCACCUCUGCCAGUGGCGGAGAAGCACUGGGAAAAUGCCAGUUUCUGGCAAGAGCCCAUCCAGCAGCAGUGUGGACAUGAUGACAUGAGCCCACAUCCAUCAUGCUUUGCCUGCAGCAGUCAAACAUCCCAGGCUGGGGAGACUUCCGGAGCAGCACACCUACAGUCGGGUGGGGAUCUGCGCUCCUGAUAUCUCGAGGCAGACCCGGCAUUGGAGAGAGGCAGAAAUGGGUGACGAGGCAUAAGUCACCCGACCUCAGGUGGGGAUCCUGAGGGCAGAGCCCAUGGCGGCGUGAUAAGGGGUCUCCCAAAGUGAGAAAACAAAGUAUAUCGCCAAGACGCAGGGAGGACCUCCACGC